rnacentral:rRNA from 1 species
AGCGAACGCUGGCGGCAGGCCUAACACAUGCAAGUCGAACGAACCUUUCGGGGUUAGUGGCGGACGGGUGAGUAACACGUGGGAACGUGCCUUUAGGUUCGGAAUAACUCAGGGAAACUUGUGCUAAUACCGAAUGUGCCCUUCGGGGGAAAGAUUUAUCGCCUUUAGAGCGGCCCGCGUCUGAUUAGCUAGUUGGUUGAGGUAAUGGCUCACCAAGGCGACGAUCAGUAGCUGGUCUGAGAGGAUGAUCAGCCACAUUGGGACUGAGACACGGCCCAAACUCCUACGGGAGGCAGCAGUGGGGAAUCUUGCGCAAUGGGCGAAAGCCUGACGCAGCCAUGCCGCGUGAAUGAUGAAGGUCUUAGGAUUGUAAAAUUCUUUCACCGGGGACGAUAAUUACGGUACCCGGAGAAGAAGCCCCGGCUAACUUCGUG